GUCGCGGACAUACAAGAUGAAGAGAGACGAUAUUACCAAACAGUAGUUGAACUAAACCAUAAGAUGCAAGUUUUGAAAUAUUGUUCAACACCAGAAGUGUGACAACAAAAACAUCAAGAGAGAUUCAAACAGAUACUAUUAAGACUUUCCGCCCCCAAACAGAACAACAAUUACAGCACACCUCCAACCCACCUUACAAAAAUAAGCAUCAACAUACGACAUUAUCCCUACUAUUAGAUUUCAUUACCAACUUUUUAAGUCUUCACAAAAAGAAAAAUCUAAAAAGAGCAACAAUAGAACUGCCAUGGUUGAUCAACUUAAGCACGCUCGCCCCUAAUACGCCUAGCAAGCUGAAUGUCCUUGGGC
rnacentral:misc_RNA from 1 species